rnacentral:rRNA from 1 species
UACAUGGGGUGCAAACGUUGCUCGGAAUUAUUGGGCGUAAAGCGCGCGUAGGCGGCUCGGAAAGUCGGUCGUGAAAUGCCGGGGCUCAACCCCGGGACUGCGUCCGAUACUUCCGAGCUGGAGGCAGGUAGGGGAGAUCGGAAUUCCUGGCGUAGCGGUGAAAUGCGCAGAUAUCAGGAGGAACACCGGUGGCGAAGGCGGAUCUCUGGGCCUUGCCUGACGCUGAGGCGCGAAAGCUAGGGGAGCGAACAGG